rnacentral:pre_miRNA from 1 species
CCCUGGCUUUAGCAGCACAGAAAUAUUGGCACCUGAAGGAAAGUCAUGCCAGUAUUGAAAGUGCUGCUCCAGACAGGA